UUGGGAGGAAGGGCAGUAAGUUAAUACCUUGCUGUUUUGACGUUACCAACAGAAUAAGCACCGGCUAACUUCGUGCCAGCAGCCGCGGUAAUACGAAGGGUGCAAGCGUUAAUCGGAAUUACUGGGCGUAAAGCGCGCGUAGGUGGUUCGUUAAGUUGGAUGUGAAAGCCCCGGGCUCAACCUGGGAACUGCAUCCAAAACUGGCGAGCUAGAGUAUGGCAGAGGGUGGUGG
rnacentral:rRNA from 1 species